AGCUUGUCUUUUUGAACAACUUGCUCCAAGCAGCUGGACAAUUCCCAUUUGCUGCUUCUUCCCCCAGGUAUAGUAACGAUAGAGCAAGGCACCGCCACCUUUAUGAGGUUUUAUUGAAUAUUUUUGUUUGCCAAGUCAAAUUCUUUGGACUGAUUCUUUUUCUCUGGCUGGAAAAUCUGCCUAUUUGCUGUCACAGUCUGUUCUUGGAGCAGAUUCAAUGGGUUGUUCAAGCAGCACACAGACCCAACUGCAGGACUCUAACAGACCAAGCUCCAAACAGGAGAGGAAUGGAGCCAGCAAAAGUGCUCCAGAUGUAAAUGGCCCAAUAACCAAUGAAGGGGAAACAAUUCCAGAUCAAGCCCAACUAUUGGAACCCAGGGCAGCCGACCCUGGUCCUGACGAGGUCAUCACCAAUGAGCCAAGCCCUUUAGAAGAUGGGGCGCGUUUGACCACAGAUACUGAAGACAGUUCAGCUCAUGCAGGGGUGACUUCUGAAGAACAAGCGGUGUCAGCAGCUCCAGUGGAAGAGACUGCACUCUCUGAUGCUGAUGAUAUUGAAAAAGUUCAUCCUUCUGAGGACCAGAUUGAAGGUAACUUGACUCAGAUUUCAUGGUUUCCAUGUCCAGGUGAGACAGGAGAGAAAAUGGAGUGCAAGACAGCCAUCAAAGCCAAUGAUGAAAAGGAAAAUGAAGUGGAGACAUCUGAAGACCUUUUGCCUCCUGAGCCGAUAGAGCCAAUAACAAAAAAUAAAGAAGAUUAAACCUUUGCUUGCUACAAUUUUGAGAAGCUCUCCCAUUAAUAUUCUCCUCUCACCUGGAACUUGUACAGCUGCUUCAAAUCUUGCAAUCACUCUCCUUGAGAGGUUUUAAGAGUCAGUAUCAGCCAUCCUGCCGAAGAAAGAGGAAGCUGCUUUUACUCAACUUUGGUCUGGUGUUUCUACAAAUAUUUGCCAAGCUAUAGCCAACCAAUACAUUCAGCUGGAUAACUCGGUGUGCUGUUGAUCUGCUUAGACAAUACAGUUACAUCACUGUACAGGUGAGAGGCAGGGACAGGUUUUUUUCUCUGCAGCUGGUACUUUUCACUCUACAUUCACCAUGAAGUCAACAAAAUCUCAGCAUGUGCCGAUCUUUCUAAUGUGGGACUGGAAUAUCACAACUUAAAAACAAAAUUGCUUUAAAAUUUAUUCAGAAGAAAACCAGCAAACUAAACAAAAGAAAAAAUUGAGACAAAACGGCGUUGAAUAGUCAACUUGUCAUUAAAAAGAGGGGAUUGUGACAAUCUGGUGGUAUUAUGUAACCUCAACUGUACGAAAGUAAAGCAUCAUUUUAAAAAGGCAUUCCUUGUUUUGUAACACUAAUGAUUUUAUAGAAGGCUUCAUAGUAUGAAUAGUUCUGUUGGUGUAUGGACUUUGAGAGCUCCACCAAGUUGCUUGUAAUACUGGGUACUGUUGGUCGGCUGAGAUGCCUUGAUUAGGUUUUCCACCAAAGUGGUCAUUUUAAUGUUCAUUGCAUUAUGUAGAUAAAAAUAUAAAUAAUUUUAUGAUUGGUCACAUAUGUAAAACGUUUAUAUGAAAUUUGAUCUAACAGAUCAAAUAUGAUUUUUAAUAAGAUAUUUUUGUUUUGCAAAGAUACUAUGAAUUAUGGUUUAUGGACUCGGCUGGGUAGAUGGAUUUAAGAAACAGAAGAGCCCAGAUCCAACUGAAACAAGUAGCAGCCUGGAAACGCUUCCUGAUCUCUACAUAUUGUUAUGUUGAGAAGGGAGAUGAUGCAUCACAAGAGCUAUAUACUUCCUUAAAAUGACCUGUGUUUUGAUUUACUUAGGUGUCUAUGUUGAAGGAUGUGAAAUAUAUAACAGCUUUCAAAAAUACCACAAGUCUUCAUGUGGCUUAUUCUUUACUUGCAUUUCAACCAGGCUUACUAAAUAUGACAAGGCAUUAUGAUCACACUUUACAUGGUUUCCCAAAGAAAUAGCAAUUGCAGUUACUGUGCAGAGCAAGGGAAAACUUAUUGAGCGCAUCAGGUCGAGAUCUCUAGUUCUAAUUCUGGCCCAAUCUUUGGUUUAAGACUUUGACCUAGUUUUAUUUUACAAUUUCUCGCUUGACCCAGGAUUCAAUAAACCAAGCAACACAUGGUCUGCUGGAGGAACAGCAUAAUGAACAUGUAGCUCAUAUAAGAUGGCAAAGUUACUCAAUAAAUCCAUAAUAGAAUAAUAACCAUAAUAGAAUCAAUGAAAGAUUGUACCAACUGUGCAAAUACAAAAAGAAUCAACAAUAAUAAAUAAGCAAUAAAUAUCAAUAACAUGAGCUGAAAAGUCACUGAAAGCAAGUCCAUAGAUUGUGGGAACAUUUCAAUGGGACAACUGGAGUGAAGUUAUCCCCUUUGGUUCAAGAGCUUUAUGCUUGACAGGUAAUAACUGCUCCUGAACCUGGUGGCGUAGGUCCUGAGGCUCUUGUACCUUAUCCUACUGUUUGUAGGAUUUUUCGUUUAAGAGCAUUGGUGUUUCCAUACCAGGCUGUGAUGCCGCCAGUCAAUAUACUCUCCACUGCACAUCUAUAGAAGCUUGUCAAAGUUUUAGAUGUCAUGCCAAAUCUACACAAACUCCUAAAGUAGUAGAGGCACUGCCAUGCAUUCUUCAUAAUCACAUUUAUGUCCUGGGCUCAGACAGGUCCUCUGAAAUGACAACACCGAGGAAUUUAAAGUUGCUGACCCUCUCCACCUCUGACUCUCCUAUGAGGACUGGCUCGUGGACCUCUGGUUUCCUCCUCCUGAAGUCAGUAAUCAACUCCUUGGUCUUGCUGACAUUCAGUGAGCGGCUGUUGACACCAGUCAGCCAGAUUCAUCACCACAUUCAGCCUAUGAGAGUGGUGUCAUCAGCAAACUUGAAGUUGGCAUUGGAGCUGUGCUUGGCAACACAGGCAGAAGUGUAAAGGAAGUAGAGCAGGAUACUAAACACAUAGCCUUGUGGUGCAUCUGUGCUGAUGGAGAUUGUGGAAAUGUUGUUGCCAAUCCAAAUUGACUGUAUGUGAGGAAAUUGAGGAUCCAAUUGCACAGGGAGGUAUUGAGGCAAAGAUCUUGAAGCUUAUUAAUUAGUUUUGAGGUAAUGAUGGCAUUGAAUGCCAAGCUGUGGUCACUAAAUGCAUCGUUGCUGUCCAGGAGUUUCAGGGUUGAGUGUACAGCCAAUGAGAUGGCAUCUGCUGUCAAACUAGGCAAACUAGAAUGGAUCCAAGUCAUUUCACGGGCAGGAAUUGAUAUGUUUCAUCACCAACCUCUUAAAGCACUUCAUCACUGUGGAUGUAAGUGCUCCUGGACAAUAGUUAUUGAGGCAGUUCACUACAUUCUUCUCAGGCACCAGUAAAAGUGAAGUCAGCUUGAAGCUGGUGGAUACCCCAGACUGCUGAAGUGAGGGAUUAAAGAUCUCAGUGAACAUUUUUAGCCAGUGGAUCAUCACAGGUCUUUAAUACGUGGCCAGGCACCCCAUAAGGGCCGGAUGCUUUUCAUGGCUUGUAUGUCAGCCUGGGACUGAAAUCACAGGAUCAUCAGGGGCUGCAGGAGUUCCUCUAUGUUUCGACAGUCAAAUCAUGCAUAGAAGGCAUUGAACUCAUCUGGAAGUAAAGCCCUGUUGUUGCCUGUGUCACUUGACUUUACUUUACAAGAAGUGAUGAUAUUCAAGGCCCGCCACAACUAUCGAGCAUCCUUCAUUGAUUCAAGUUUUAGUCAAGUUAAGCACACAAAAAAAUUUAGUCCAAGACCCUGAGACCAUGAAUGUUGCAGCAGUCUGCAGUCAAAUACAAUAUGGCUUGUCUUUUGCUGGGCAAACACUGGGGGCAGCACCAUCUCCGGCUUGGACACUGUACCAUACUGUCCCUGGCACUCCAGUGCAUUGCGUCUCUCCUGGGUGGCCUGAGGCCUGUCCUUGCUAUGACCAAGGCCAUGCAGCUCCCCCACCAUUCGCCAAUAGAUCAGUGAAUCAGACUUGCAGUAUUCCACAUUAACAAUGUCCAAUAGGGUCUUGCAAUCACAAGUGACUAAGCCAAUCGCUUGCUGUUAGACUGCACACCAUCAUUGCGCACCAACUCCUCCGAUGCCUCUCUGACAAAGGCAGCAACAUGAUUUGCACCAAGUCGAGCUCCUUCAGGUUCUCCACCAAUGAACAACUCACUGAUGGGGUAGACCUGCAGUACUUAUGUCCAGCAGGGUCUAGCGAUUAUAAAAAAAUGUUUAAUAAAGGCAAUAACACAUUUAGUUGGUCCCAUAGAAGUCGCUGUGAUCAGGUGUGCCGCCAACUUACCAGAAAUGACUAAUGUUGUUUAAUGAAGAAUGCAAGGUGUUCUAACGAAACUAAAGCUUGCAAUGGAAAUAUCUCUCUGCACAAAGCCAAGAAUGUGAUCAAUGGGAACUGUAAGCUUUAUGGCCUCUCAAGCCUGCUCUGGACCUACCUGCACCCUGUGACCCUUAACAUGCCUGUUGGAUUAAAACACUGUCACGUCAUUGAAUAUGUUCAAACAAUUAGGGAGGGCUUCCUCAGUCUUCAAGUAGAAAUUUCCAAAAAAAAAACAAAAAACACAACUCUUGGAAAUUGUUCCUCCGCUCCAUAAGUAAUCUCAUAGUCUGAAACCACGUCACCUGAUUUGAUCUCACCAUGUUGCUGAGACAGGAUGACAUGUUUGAGGAGAGACUGGAUAAGCUGGGGCUUUUUCCCCCCUGCAGUAUAGGAGGUUGAGGGAUUUACAAAAUCAUGCAGUGUGCCAGAGGACCGUGAGUGUCGGGGAACAGGAGUGAGUGCCAUUGCCAUUACAAAGGAAAAAGUGCUGGCAAACUCAUAGGUCUUAAGGUGGUUAAGUCACCUGGGCCAGAUGGACUUCAUUCUACAGUCCUGACAGAGGUUGCUGAAGAGAUAACGGAUACAUUGUUCAGGAUCUUUCAAGAAUCACUUGAUUCUGGCAUGAUCCCAGAGGAAUGAAAGAUUGCAAAUGUCACUCCACUCUUUAAGAAGGGAGGAAGGCAAAAGAAAGGAAAUUAUAGGCCAGUUAGCCUAAUCUCAGUGGUUGGAAAAGUGUUGGAGUCUAUUAUUAAGGAUGGGGCUUAGAGGUACUUGGAGACAAUUGAUCGAAUAAGUCAAAGUCAGUAUAGUUUCUGUAAAGGGAACUCUUGCCUGAUAAAUCUUUGAGGAAGUAACAAGCAGGGUGAACAAAGGAGAGGCAGUGGAUAUCAUUUACUUGGAUUUUCAGGUGUUUGAUAAGGUGCUCAACAAGAUAAACUCCUAUGGCAUUACAGGAAAGAUACUGGUGUGGGUAGCAGGAUGGUUGACAGGCAGGAGGCAGUGAGUGGGACUAAAGAGGGCCUUUUCUCAUUGGCUGCCAGUGACUGGUGGUGUUCCUCAGGGGCCAGUAUUAGGACCGCUGCUUUUCACAUUGUUUGUCCAUGAUUUAGAUAAUGGAAUUGAUGGUUUUGUGGCAAAGCUUGCAAAUGAUGGGAAGAUAGGUGGAGGGGUAGGUGGUGCUGAGGAAGCAAUGUGAUUGCAGCAGCACUUAGACAAAUUGGAAGAAUGGGCAAAAAAGUGGCAGAUGAAAUGCAGUGUUGGGAAAUGUAUGAUAAUGCAUUUUGGUAAAAGGAACAAUAGACUAUUAUCUAAAUGGAGAGAAAGUUCAAACAUCAACAGUGCAGAGGGACUUAGGAGUUCUCAGGCAAGACUCCCAGGUUAAUUUACAGGUUGAGUCUGUGGUAAAGGCGGCAAAAGCAAUGUAGGCAUUUAUUUCAAGGAGAAUAGAAUAUAAAAACAAGGAGAUAAUGCUGAGCCUUUACAAGACACUAGUUAGGCUGCGCUUGGAGUAUUGUCAUCAGUUUGGGGCCCCAUAUCUCAGAAAGGAUGUGUUGUCUUUGGAGAGAGUUCAGAGGAGGUACACGAGGAUGAUUCUGGGAAUGAAGGGGUUAACAUUUGACAAGUGUUUGGCAGCUUUGGGCCUGUACUCACUGGAAUUAAAAGAAUGCAGGGGAUCACAUUGAAACCUACUGAAUGUUGAAAGGACUAGACAGGGUGGAUGUGGAGAGGAUGUUUCCCACAGUCAGGGUAUCCAGAACUAGAGGGCACAGCUCAAAAUUGAGCAGCAACUCUUUAGAAGAGGUGAAGAGGAAAUUUUUAGCCAGAGAGUAGUAGGUUUGUGGCAUUCUCUGCCACAGAAUGUGGUGGAGGCCAAGUCUGUGGGUAUAUUUAAGACAAAAGUUGAUUGUUUCCUGAUCAGUCAGGGCAUCGAGGGAUAUGGCGAGAAGGCAGGUGUAUGGGGUUGAGUGGGAUCUGGGAUCAGCCAUGAUGGAAUGGUGGAGCAGACCUAAUGGCCUAAUUCUGCUCCUAUGUCUUAUGGAUCUGGUAUAUGGUCAGUUUAUUCCCCAGGGUUGGGCAGUCAAAACCUAGAGGGCAUAGGUUUAAGGUGAGAGGGGAAAUAUUUCAUAGGACCUGUAAGGGCAACUUUUCCCAGACAGAUAGUGGUGGGUAUGUAGAACAAGCUGCCAGAGAAAAUUGUAUAGGACAAUUACAAUGUUUAAAAGGCAUUUGGACAGUUACAUAGAGAAGUUUAGAGGAACAUGGGCAAAACUCGAGCAAAUUAUACUAGCUCAGGGAGGCAUUGUGGUUGGCAUGGCCAAUUUAAGCUGAAGGGCUUGUUUCUGUGCUACAUAACUAUGAGGAGAAAGGCAUUAGAACCCAUUAAAACAAAAGACCGAACAUCUGCUGUGCAGAGAGAAAAAAAAUCAAAUCGUGCAAAUAAAAAGGAAGCAAAUAGCAUUCAGAACUAAAGUUCAUGAAAAUGAGCCAUCACUGUAGCUGAUUCAAAAGCCCAUUAUUUGCAGGCCACAGCAUUAGUUCAGUGCAGAGAUGAGUAAAUCUCACGGAGCAGUGAGUUGAAACGGCCCAUCUUCACUUCCGGCCCUGACACCCUGAUCUUUUCAAUCUGGUCUGGUGCUUAAAUUGCCCGAACCUGGGCCCUGCCACUUCCAUACAUUCUUGGGCCCAAGCCCCACCACCCUGAUUCAGCCUGUACCCAACCUUUCCAAUUCAGCUCAGUGCUUAAAUCGAUCAAACCUCGGGUCUUUCCUCGUUCUUGGUACCAGGCUCCACCUCGACUCUGCCUCGCCUCGGAUAUGCUGUAUCAAAUUGCCUUCAAGUCCGCUCCAGCACGGACCUUGCUGUCUCCAUUUUGCCUGUAGGCACUUCACUGCAACCAUCCUGCAUGUUUGAGACUUCAGCUCACACUGCAAAAAUGGCAGGUCGUACGGGCAGUUUAAAAGCUCAACUCCAACAGGGAAGUUACAGUCCCUGCAGUGAUCACUUACCAGGAAAAGUGUGAUCAAUAAAGUAUUCAGUUGUUUUCUUUGUUUUAUUUGCCACCAGCAAGUAGUCGUUGAGCUCCACCAGCACCAUCUUAAACCACUAUCAUUAUGUGUGUAACAGUAAGUGCAACACUCCACAGCUCAGGGCAUUUUGGAAUUCAAUUCUGGCACCAUCUGUGAGGAGCCUCUGUACAUCAUCCCUGUGGAAUGUGUGGGUGCUCCAGUUUCCUCUGACAGUCCAGUCAUAACCAGUAGCUUCAUCGGUCUUUGUAAAUUGUGCUGUGAUUAGGUUAGGGUUAAUUGGGUUUGUCGGUGAUUACUGAGGCUGGAAGGGCCGACCACACACUGUAUUGCCAAAAUAAAAAUAAAAUAAAUGAAAAUGAAAAUUAAAGUAUUGACAUGGAGCAUUUGGGGUCUACGGCAUUUAACUAUGCAGUACCUUCUAUGCUCACAUAAGUCACCUGUCUUCCUUUCAUCUACUACUGCAAGUACCUUGAAGUGCGACAACUUGAAGAGUCCCAAUAUACAGACAUGCUGAGAGCUUGGCUGCCAAAUGCAUCCAAACCACUAGGACUGAGCAAGUCAUUGCAGAGUUGGUGGAAAUAUUAACAGACUCAGAUAAAGGAGCUCUGUGUUACCAUCAAUCCUGGUCACACAACUGAAGUACAUGUCUGGCCAACAGACGUGUUUAGUUACGUGGAUUCCACAAAACUGCCCACCCUAUCAAACCCAGAGGAGGAAAU